UCAGACACACCGAAAUAGGAAUGAUUUAAUCCAACGACACCUCCCAGGGCUGCCCAGUCCCGGUUCCGCCAGCUCCUGAGAUUGGGGAGGGGCAGAAUCAGGUGGAACUCGGAUUGGGGGGCGGAAAUGGCCCGAGUGGGAGGGAAGGCGCGGGGUCGGAUGCUACCUUGUAACCGAGUUAGGUUCCUGCAGAAAAGAAGGACGAAGGUCGUCCACGGACCCUCGGGUGACCUCGGCGCGGCCUGGUGGCCAAGAACACCCGUGCGUGGACGAGGUCCCUUCCGGGGGUCUCCCUGCAGGGGUCUCCAGGGAGGAAGUGGGCAUGUGGGUCCUUAACCUCUCCAUUGCAUCAUCCCCAUCCCGGUGGGUACAGAAGCGCAGCAACCCCGCGAUGCUCCCGGAAGACACCGCGUCUCCAACAUUUACACGGAGAUGGUGCUCGGCUCAGAUGGGAAGAGCACUGGAACAGGGGGAGGGCCCGAGGCUGCUGGGGCGAGAGGGCUUAGAGCAAGGGCACCUGUGCUGCUGCGGUCCCAAGAGCGGUGGUGACCGGUGCACAGUGUCGUGAUGAUACUAAGAACUGCUGCAUUGUAAACUUUAAAGUGGUGAAUGUUAUGGUAUGUGAAUUGUAUCUCAACACAAAAAAGUGAUUCAUCACAAAAUGGUUGAAAGCAGUUUAAAAAUAUUGAGUGAUGUAAAUUUAAAAAUUAAAACCUCUUGAUUCCUUCACCAACUACACCUUCCUGCUUUCCAAAGGGAAACCACGUUACCACUGUGCAGAAACCUUCUAGGACCCAAGUAUAUCUGUGAGUAUCUUUUUUUCUUUUUGGCAAAAACAGGAUGAAACUUUAAGUGGUGUUUUGCAGCUCGCUUUGUUUAUGGGGAGAUAAACAUUUCCAUGUCAAUUCAAGUGCCUUUGUUAAAGAAGUGCCUGGUAUCCCCUUGUCUGGCAGUCCUCUCACUCACUUCAGCAGUCCUUUAUCAAUGGACACUUAAAUGUUUCCAAAAUUUUGUCAUUAGACUCUGGACUGAACAUGCUCGUGCUGGCAUCUCUGUAACCUGAUGCAAGCAUCUGUGUUGCAUGAAUUCCUGGAAGUAAAACUGAUGGGCCAAAGGACAUGUGUGUUUUAGAUCUUGAUAAAUAUUGCCAAAUGGCUUUCCAAAAACUGUUCCUAAUGGACAGGGUCCCAGCGGUCAAGCAGGCGCCGUUUCCUCCUACCCUGCGGGCUAAAGUCUUCCUCCUGUGAAGACGUCUCCAAGACCACUUGAUUGGGGGUGAUGGAGAAGGCAGGGCGUGGGGAGGGGAGCCUCAGCCCAUCA
rnacentral:lncRNA from 1 species